rnacentral:rRNA from 1 species
AGCAGCCGCGGUAAUUCCAGCUCCAAUAGCGUACAUUAAAGUUGUUGCAGUUAAAAAAGCUCGUAGUUGAACUCCAGGCCUGUCCAGACGGUCCGCCUUAAUUGGUGUGUACUGUCCUUGGGUGGGUCCUACCUUCUGGCGAAGCGGCAUGGCCUUAAUUGGUUGUGUCGGGGAACCAGGACUUUUACUGUGAAAAAUUAGAGUGUUCAAAGCAGGCAAAUAUGCUCGAAUACAUUAGCAUGGAAUAAUGGAAUAGGACGAUGGUUCUAUUUUGUUGGUUCUAGGACCGUUGUAAUGAUUAAUAGGGAUAGUUGGGGGCAUUAGUAUUCAAUUGUCAGAGGUGAAAUUCUUGGAUUUAUUGAAGACUAACUACUGCGAAAGCAUUUGCCAAGGAUGUUUUCAUUAAUCAAGAACGAAAGUUAGGGG